rnacentral:rRNA from 1 species
AUUGAACGCUGGCGGCAUGCUUUACACAUGCAAGUCGAACGGCAGCGGGGGCUUCGGGCCUGCCGGCGAGUGGCGAACGGGUGAGUAAUGCAUCGGAACGUGCCCAUGUCGUGGGGGAUAACGUAGCGAAAGCUACGCUAAUACCGCAUACGUCCUGAGGGAGAAAGCGGGGGGAUCUUCGGACCUCGCGCGAUUGGAGCGGCCGAUGUCGGAUUAGCUAGUUGGUGGGGUAAAGGCCCACCAAGGCGACGAUCCGUAGCGGGUCUGAGAGGAUGAUCCGCCACACUGGGACUGAGACACGGCCCAGACUCCUACGGGAGGCAGCAGUGGGGAAUUUUGGACAAUGGGCGCAAGCCUGAUCCAGCCAUGCCGCGUGAGUGAAGAAGGCCUCGGUGUAAG